rnacentral:lncRNA from 1 species
GGUGGUGAGCUUUCUGGUAAAAGUAAAGAGAUAGUACCCGAGGAUCAAGAAUCGAAGUACUCAAAAUUUGACUCCCGAAAUAGUGAGUAACCUUACUACCGUCUUAAUUAUCUAAAGUAAUUUUUAUUCGUUUUUGUGAAUUUUAUGAAAAAUGAGUUUAAAUGGUAAAUCUUUAUGUUUUAUAAGCAAAAUGUGAUUAAAUGAAAUGAUUUUAUAAAAUUGUCUUGAAAUUGAAAGAUGGUUUUGAAAAUGGAGUAAUUGGAGACUAAUUGCUGUGUUAAAAAUCAUGGUUUGAAUUGAAUGGCUUAUGAUAAUAUUGGCAUGAAUGGUUGGAUUUGGUAAAUGCGUUGAAAAAGUAUGAACUGUUGAUUUGCCUUGAAAGGUUGUAAAAUAAAAUAAGUGCCAUGUCAUGCUGUUGAAUUUUAUUGAAUUGGUGGGUUAUAAUUGGUCGUUGCAGUGGACGAGUUCCGUGUACUAGCCUAUUAGAGGGGCACAGUAACCCUAUUAUAUUCAUACCUCAGUAUGAGAGGCACGGUUGGAUAACUCCUGAGGUUAAAACUUUAGAGUUCACUUCACACCAAACCACCACGUGAGAGUGAACUCAGCCAACGCCAAGGAAUGGCUAUGUUUUCAAAAUAAAAACAUGAUUUAUGCGAACAUGACUUUUUAACAGCCUUGGCGGACUUGGUUGGGAUAGCCCUCAGCCAAGGUAUCCCUGAUAACUGAGUAUGAGAAUGAUUUUGGAACAAGCCAAACUUUUCAAGAAAUCAUAAGCCUUGUUGUUUAUUUAGGUGAAAUGAAUCUAUUUUAUCUUAUUAAAAUGAGUUCGAAAUGUUGUGAAUCAUUUUUAUGCUAAUCUAUUUUAUCUGUCUCCAUUUACUCAACUUUAGAUAUUUUAGAUGGUAUAUGUUUACUCACUGGGAUUAUAUAAUCUCACCACCCUCCUUUUCACCCAUUUUAGGCUCAAGAUAGUCGGUAAAUAGCUCAUUUCGUUGAGGGCUACAGUUGGACUUGCAUCCUCAAAAACUGUAGGUUUACCGCUUUUAAUACUUUUGGUCUUUCAUGGGCCCACGUGGUAUUGUAAAUUAAAUUUUAUGCUUUGGUUAUCUAUAUUACAGUAUGUAUGAAUUUAUUUAGCUUUUACGCUACAAAAAUUAUUUAUCGGGAACUCUAUAAAUAUUAUUUUAUAAAAAUAUAGAAUAUUUUAUUGAAUAUUUUUAUUAUAUUCAAAUAGUUAUAGUUUCACUUUAAAUGAAUGUUUUAGACAUCUAAACUUAUUUUUGAUUAUGAAAUAUGUGUUUUCCACUUGCAUGCUACAUUUUUAGCUAGUUUUGAGAUUUUCGAGGAAACAUGACCAAAAUGCCCCUGUGAGAAAAAAAUUAUUUAUCUAUUGUUUUGAUUUGGAAAUAGUUUAUAGUCUCUCAAAUCAUGAUACUUAACAACUGUUGCUCACUGGGGAGGUGCGAAAACUAAUAUUAAAGCCUUGUGAGAUUUCGGUUGGCAUUCCGAGCAAUGAAUGUCUAUCAGAACGUCGCGGUGGUUGUCACAAGCUCGAGAGGAGUACCGGGUUGGGACAAGGCCACUUGUCUUUCUCCUUUUCUUGUGUAAUCCUUUUACUCUUUUGCCACCGGGAAUAGGUCCAAAAUCCUCUGAAAGAGGUCCCUUAAGUAGCCCCCAAAAGUCCUAGCUUCAAAAUCCCUUAAACUUGUUAUUUGUGGAAAUUACGGUGAAGGCUGCGGCUCUCAAUUUCCAACGUCGCAGUGCUCAAAUGUUCUGUCCAACUCUGUUCUUUUGGCACAGUACUUUCACCUUGACAAAGGUUUUUGACCACCUUCCCUUCAAAAUUGGGCAAAGUGGUAAACAUCAAAGUUGUAGCCCUAACUCUUAGCUUUCUAAUGGUUUAAAACUCAUGUCAUUUUGACUGUUGUAGUAGGAGAUAUGCUUGAAAAACCGAAACAUAUGCAAAUAGAGCAACAGCCCACUAUGUACCUUUCUUCACCAAUUGAAAUUAUGUUUUGAUCCUACUCCUAUAACGACUUAAAAUAAUUAUAAGUAACAUAAAACUAACAUCAUUAGCUCAAAUUAAACCUUUAAACAUAAGUUCUAUAUAAUACCCAAUACUUUGAUAUGGUGACUAAUAAAGCUUAUUGGAUGCCAAUUGAGGCAUAAUAAGGUAUUUUUGGUACUAAGGAGACAAGAGAAAUUUUUUUGAAUAAAAUAAUAUUUUAUUAAUAAAAUAAUAAUAAAAUAUUAAUAUUUUAUUCAGUGUCAAAAUUUUUCAUGAAGAAGGAGUGUAUGGUGAAUCUAAGUGGGGGAGAAGAAGAAUGAGAAAAUCAUGGAGAAAAAUGACGUUAAUGGGGCCGCGUGUCUUUGUUAAGUAAAGAUAAAUCGGGUAAAUAAAUAUUUUAAAUAUUAUCGGGAUACCGCGUUGAAAUACAAUUUUGAUAUUUUGGUGGUAUACGUAUAAAGGAAGGAAGAUAGAUGAAAAUCAGAAUUUUAGACAAGUCGAAAAGAUCGAAUUUUAAAAUAUGAAAGUUGGAGGAUUAUGUAGUGAAAUUAAAUGGAAGGUGAUAAAGUCUUGUCAUGUGAUUUUUAUACAUAAAUAAUUGGAGAAAAUAAGUCAAUAGUCAUGAAUUCAUGGACAUGCCAUCCAUGACAAAGAAAAUGAGGAGAAAAGAAAAGAUAAAGAUGAAGGAAAAGUCAAAAGAAAAGAAAUGAAUGAAAGGAAAUGGAAGAGAAAAGAUGAGAAAAUAGUGAAAUGGGGAAGAAAAGUCAAGUAAGGUGGCCGACAAAGUUAGUAAGAAAGAAUGAGAUAGAGAUGAACGAUAGAAAAGAAAAGAAAAGUCAAAGUCGAUUAAGUGAAGAAGGAAAAAUAAAAGAGAGAAGUCGAUUGUCGGAGAAAGCAAAAAGAGCAAAGGAAAGCAAAAAGAAAGCAAAAAGAGCAAAGGAAAGAAAAGAAGAGAAAAGCAGAGCGGUGAGGAAGAAAAAAAAAAAGAAAGAAAAGAAAAGGAGGAGGAGCUGAGUUUGAAAAGGCAGUUUUGCUACCAUUUAGGGAAGAAAUGAGCAACUUUGGUUGCUUAUUUUUGGAGGCUUUGGCUGCCAGUUUUGAGGGUGAGAUGAGCAGCUUUAGCUGCUGAUUUUUUAAGGAUGAAAUGAGCGGCUUUGGCUGCUGAUUUUUGAAACUUUGGCUGCCAAGUUUUGAGGGAGAAAGGAGCAACUUUGGCUGCUUAUUUUUGAGGCUCUGGCUGUCGAUUUUGAGGGUAAGAUGAGCAGCUUUAGCUGUUGAUUUUUGAAGGUUGAAAGGAAUGACUUUGGCUACUGAUUUUUGAAGCUUUGGCUACCAAGUUUUGAAGGAUAAAGGAGCAGCUUGGCUGCUGAUUUUUUAAGAAGAAUAGAGCAGCUUGGCUACUGAUUUUUGAGGUUAUUAUGAGCAGCUUUGGCUGCUGAAAUUUUUGGAAGAAAGGUGCUGCUGAUCGGCGGGAGAGAGGAGAAGAAGAAAGAGAGAAAGAAACGGGAAUGAAAGAACAAAAAAAAAAAAGAGUGGGCAUAGUCCAAUAAGAAAAGAAUGGGCAUGGCCCAAUAGAAAGAAAUGGGAAGAGCCCAAGGAAAGGGCCCAAUAGCAACAAAGAAAGAAAAGUCCAAAAAAGAAGAAAGGUGGAGACUUGGGCUUGGGCCAACCUAGCCCAAAUAGGUAAAAAGAAAAUUUCCUUGCUUUUUAUUGGGCUUGUUGUGAAGUUAGAUUAAUUAGGGCUAGCCCACUUGUUUAGUUAAAUUUUUGGUAUUAGUGGUAUGAAUUAAAUUUAAAUUACUUUAAUACAAUAUUUUAAAAAAAUUAUAUUAGGAUGUGUCAUAGGACUAAAGUAAAUAAGAAAAUAUGAAAUUGAUGAAUAGUGCUCAAGUGAAGUUAAGAAAUUUUAAAUGAUUCAUUGUGAAGAAUUAUUAUUGUCGGUGGAAUUUAUUGGCAUAAUUUAGUUGAAAGUGUUAAGUUGAGUGGUAUAAUAUUUGGAAAAAAUAAGGGGAAAUAAUGUGGAAAAAUAAGAUGGAUUUGGGCGGAAGUUAAUUAAAAGGUUGAAGUAGGUAUGGGACAAUAUAAAUAAGUUGUCGAUGUUAUACUUUAAGGAAUUACAUAAGCAACAGAUAUAAGCAAUUUUACUGAAAAUGCCUUAAGAUGUGAGUUAAUUUAAUAUGGUUUUGUGAUAGGGUGAGAAACAGAGGUGGGAUUGAUGUACUAAACAUAUUGAGUUUGGAUUAUUGCUAGGACGUGUUAAAGUAAAGUUAGAGUAUUGUGGUGGCGUGCCGGAGUAAAUAACAAGCGAUCGGCCAAUGGAAAUAGUUAGAGACACCUUCGAACAAAUAAUGACCUAAUACCUCGUUGUUGCCAGGUGAGUGAAGUUGCAUUAAAAUGUUUUGGAAUAAAUGAUUUUAUGCUUGGUUGAGCCCCUCGAAAUAUUUUGUUGGUUUUUCUUUAAAAGUUGCAUGGGAACAAGCCCUUGAUGAAAUUUUUUGAUAUUAUGAGAUAUGAACAUGAUGAAUUCAUGAGUUUCUACAAUAUGUUGAUGUGUAUAUUAUACAUUAAAUGAUAUUUUUUGUAUGAUAAUUAUGACCCAGCCAUGAGCGGUGUAGGAGUGCACAUGAGCUGUGCUGACCCAGCCAUGUACGGUGUAAGAGUGCACAUGAGCUGUGCUGACCCGGCUAUGUGUGGUGUAUGAGUGCACAUGAGCUGAGACAAAGUUGAGGGGGUGAGGCCGGUGGUUAUAUAUAUGUUUAUAUAUGAUAUAUAUAUAUAUA